UUUAAUAUUCACAUUGUAUCGAAUAAGGAAGGAAUUUCAAAUUCCUAUUGUUUGAGUGUCAUUUGAGUUUCCCUAAAUUUAACUUGGAUACAUACCUCUUAAAUUUCCUAUCAUUUUAAAAAUUCUCUAAAUUAAUCAUCUAAAAACAAAAUUUACAUUGAAGAAUUUGAAUUCUCUCAAAAAAUUACAUUACAUUACCUCAAAACAUUGCUUCGU
rnacentral:lncRNA from 1 species